rnacentral:rRNA from 1 species
AUUGAACGCUGGCGGCAGGCCUAACACAUGCAAGUCGAACGAGUGGCGGACGGGUGAGUAAUGUCUGGGAAACUGCCCGAUGGAGGGGGGUAACUACUGGAAACGGUAGCUAAUACCGCAUACCAUCGGAUGUGCCCAGAUGGGAUUAGCUAGUAGGUGGGGUAACGGCUCACCUAGGGGACGAUCCCUAGCUGGGCUGAGAGGAUGACCAGCCACACUGGAACGGAGAAAGGGUCCAUACUCCGACGGGAGGCAGCAGUGGGGAAUAUUGCACAAGGGGCGCAAGCCUGAUGCAGCCAUGCCGCGUGUAUGAAGAAGGCCUUCGGGUUGUAAAGUACUUUCAGCGAGGAGGCGUUACUCGCAGAAGAAGCACCGGCUAACUCCGUGCCAGCAUCCGCGGUAAUUC